rnacentral:rRNA from 1 species
AAGGAAUUGACGGAAGGGCACCACAAGAACGCGUGGGGCAUGUGGCUUAAUUUGACUCAACGCGGGAAAUCUUACCGGGUCCGGACACACUGAGGAUUGACAGGUGUUUCGUAGGAUACUUAUACUCUUUAUUGAGUGUAUGCUUUAUACCUACAUAUCAAAUAUGCUAGUCCUUUCAUGAUUGUGUGAUAGGUGGUGCAUGGCCGUUCUUAGUUCGUGGAGUGAUCUGUCUGCUUAAUUGCGUUUCACUUAUAGCUUAGGAUCCCACUGUAGUGUCGCUUGUGACCUCACUUUAACGAGUGACGCGUCCAGCACAUUUGUGGACCUAGGCUUCGAAGGCAACGAACGUGACCG